rnacentral:rRNA from 1 species
UAGUCAUNCGCUCGUCUCAAAGAUUAAGCCAUGCAUGUAUAAGUAUAAAUAGUUAACUUUAAAACUGCGAAAGGCUCAUAUAUCAGUUAUAGUUUAUUUGAUGAAUCAUUGCUACUGGAUAACCGUAGUAAUUCUAGGGCUAAUACAUACAUCAAUCCUCGACAUUCGUGAAGAGGUGUGUUUAUUAGUAUGAAAACCAUAAGCUUCGGCUUAGUAGUGAGUAAUAAUAACCUAACAUAUCGUAUGCUUGUAACGAUAUAUCUUUCAAGUUUCUGCCCUAUCAGCUUUCGAUGGUAGUGUAUUGGACUACCAUGGCAGUAACGGGUAACGAAGAAUUUGGGUUCGAUUUCGGAGAGGGAGCCUGAGAGAUGGCUACCACAUCCAAGGAAGGCAGCAGGCGCGUAAAUUGUCCAAUCCUAACAUAGGGAGACAGUGACGAUACGUCAUGGGGAAGAACUUUAAGUUAGUCCACCAGAUUGAGAACAAGGUACAAUUCUUAUCGAUAAACAAUUGGAGGGCAAGUCUGGUGCCAGCAGCCGCGGUAAUUCCAGCUCCAAUAGCGUAUAUNAACGUUGUU